rnacentral:rRNA from 1 species
UACGUAGGGUCCAAGCGUUAUCCGGAAUUACUGGGCGUAAAGCGUACGCAGAUGGUUCAAUAGGUGAGAUGCGAAAUCUUGUGGCUCAACCACAUAGACUGUGUCUCAAACCAUUGGACUAGAGGUUGGUAGAGGCAAGCGGAAUUUCCGGUGUAGCAGUGACAUGCGUAGAUAUCGGAAGGAACACCAAUGGCGAAGGCAGCUUGCUGGGCCACACCUGACGUUAAGGUACGAAAGCGUGGGGAGCGAACGGG